rnacentral:tRNA from 1 species
AAGGACUUAGUUAAAAAAUAACAUUAAUAUGUCAUAUUAAAAUUAUUAAUAAAUUAAUAUUCCUUU